rnacentral:rRNA from 1 species
UACAGGGGGUGCAAACGUUGCUCGGAAUUAUUGGGCGUAAAGCGCGCGUAGGCGGCUACUUAAGUCGGAUGUGAAAGCCCUUGGCUCAACUGAGGAAGUGCACCCGAAACUGAGUGGCUAGAGUACGAAAGAGGGUCGCGGAAUUCCCGGUGUAGAGGUGAAAUUCGUAGAUAUCGGGAGGAACACCGGUGGCGAAGGCGGCGACCUGGGUAGAUACUGACGCUGAGGCGCGAAAGCGUGGGGAGCAAACAGG